rnacentral:rRNA from 1 species
UACGUAGGUGGCAAGCGUUAUCCGGAAUUAUUGGGCGUAAAGAGCGCGCAGGUGGUUGAUUAAGUCUGAUGUGAAAGCCCACGGCUUAACCGUGGAGGGUCAUUGGAAACUGGUCGACUUGAGUGCUGGAGAGGAAAGUGGAAUUCCUAGUGUAGCGGUGAAAUGCGUAGAUAUUAGGAAGAACACCAGUGGCGAAGGCGAUUCUCUGGACUGUAACUGACGCUGAGGCUCGAAAGCGUGGGGAGCAAACAGGAUUAGAUACCCGU